GAGAGUAGAAACAGCAAGGGAGCGAGGGGUGUGAAGUGGGGAAGAGAGUGUGAGGGGAGAGGGCUGAGCGUGAUGAGGGAGAAACAGAAAGAGGGAAUGUGAAGGCAGCCAGCCCAGGAGACAUCGAGCUGUGCUGGGCCACAGGAGUGAGCACCUGCAGAGCCCAGCAGAGAUGGCCGCAGUGACAGGAGGGCCAGGGGGCCCAGGAGUUAGGAGGAGAGGAUCCAGAAAGGGGGCUUUGGAACUGCGCAGUGUGGCACAGACAAAAGCAAGAUGGGGAAACUGAGGCUCGGCUCGGAAAGGUGAAGUAACUUGUCCAAGAUCACAAAGCUGGGAUAAAUUGACCCUCCAGUGGACAGCUCUGAGAAGUGUUCUACAUGGCUCUUUGGAAGGUUCCAGCAGGAUAGAGCCCCAGUUGUCCAUAGAGGUGAACAUCAAGUUGGUGCUAUGGCAAGGCUGGGAAACUGCAGCCUGACUUGGGCUGCCCUGAUCAUCCUGCUGCUCCCCGGAAG
rnacentral:lncRNA from 1 species